CGCUGGCGGCGCGCCUAACACAUGCAAGUCGAACGCGAAAGGGGGCAACCCUGAGUAAAGUGGCGCACGGGUGAGUAAUACCUAGGUAAUCUACCUUAUUGACCGGAAUAACCAGUCGAAAGAUUGGCUAAUACUGGAUAGAGCGAUUAAGCGAGAGUUUAGUUGGGAAAGGGUGGCUUGGGCAACCAAGCUAUUGCGAUGAGAUGAGCCUGGGUCCCAUUAGCUAGUUGGUGAGGUAAUGGCUCACCAAGGCGAUGAUGGGUAGCUGGUCUGAGAGGACGAUCAGCCACACUGGAACUGGAACACGGUCCAGACUCCUACGGGAGGCAGCAGUGGGGAAUCUUGCGCAAUGGGCGAAAGCCUGACGCAGCGACGCCGCGUGGGUGAAGAAGGCCUUCGGGUUGUAAAGCCCUGUCGAGUGGGAAAAAUGGCACACUAAAUAAUACGUAGUGUGAUUGAUGGUACCACUAAAGGAAGCACCGGCUAACUCCGUG
rnacentral:rRNA from 1 species